ACAAGUCACUAUGGCGAUGGCUACGACUAUAGAGAUUGCCUCCGCCUUCCGCGCGUGUCCGUGACAGCCCAAAAGAGCCAAAGCAUACCACAAAGGAAAUGAAUCGCUUGGUUUUUCAUUCUUAGAUACCAUUCGGUGUCUAAGCGCUUUCGUGGAAACAAGUGAUUAUUUUUCAAGUCGCCAAACCCUGACCAGGACGAUGUCUUCAAUCAUAGCGCGGUUGGUGCUCUUGGUCUUGCUAUUUCUCUUAUUCUCUCGAGGUACCAGCAGCAGAGAAAUCGGACUCCCAAAGGUUAUUGGAAAUCGUUUGCGGAUGACUCCGGAUGACAGCCACCGGGUCGUUGAAGCAAAUUCAAACCUGACAAUAACUUGCACCUACGCAUUUCAAAACGACAACCAGAGUCUUGACCAUCAAAACAUUUCUUGGAGAUGGGAAUUGCCCAGCUUCCUCACCAAAUAUCCGAAAUUAACGAAUACGACUGAGCGAUGCAGCAAGACGGUCCAUGUGAACAGCACUCACAUUUCGGUAACGCUGACACUAGCGAACGUCACACCACUUGACACGGGCUAUUUCCGGUUUUUCCUCGAGGACAUGGAAAUGAAUCAAUACGUUUACGUUUUCGACGAAAGAAAUCUCAUCGUCCUCAGCGACAAGAGUUUCUUUCCCGAUUAUUACCUGUACUUUCUCCACCAAGCGGAAUUGGGUGUUCACAUCCCUUGCAAAUCCACCCAUCCGAACGUGACAGUCACUCUCAUCCAUAUAGAACCACUCAACAAGGAACCGAAUUUCGACGUAAUCAAAAUUGAAUUUGUUUUAUCUGCUAACUAAAGUAAUUUCCCUAAUUUGGAAAAAAAGGAUGUGCUAGCCAACCCCAAUUCGCCUUGGUUGUUCGAACCCGAACGCGGAUUGACGUUAAAACAGGUUAUGAUCAAUAACACUGGGAACUACAUCUGCGUUGGCACAAUGAAUAACAUUAGCACCGUCAAAAACUUCACCAUCAGUGUCAAAGGAAUGGAGUUAGAAAGAGUGGGGGAUCCCGAGGAUCCAGUCGAAGGAAGCAAUGUCACUUUAAUUUGUCGCGCGAUAUUCCCCGAAGUCAAAUACGCCGCCCCACCGGAAUGGGCCUAUCAAAUUGACAAUAAUGCAAGAAUGCAAGUGAUUGAUGAGGCAAAUCUACCUCAAGGUAUUCAGAUCAAAACAGAAGGGGAAAAUAAAAAUCACGAUACCAGCGGAUUUAAACUGAAUUACUACGAAAGUCGAUUGGAUCUCUUUGAAAUAACCCACGACACCCACACAACGUUCCAGUGCAAAGCCAACAAAUACAAAGACGCAGUCACUAAAUCCAUUUCUUUUCGGAUUAAAGGUAAAACUUCUGGCUUGGCAUUUAGUUUCUAUGACGUGCAAGCGUGAGACUGACUCGAUGUGUACAGAUAAACUUCACAGCAAACCGCCGUCUCACCAGUUGGACGAGAAAGGAACGGAAAUUACUUCCUUUGUCGCCAUUUCUGUAACUCUAGUCAUCUUCUUCUUAUUUGGAAUCACUAUCGUCGGCGUCAAACAACAUUACGAUAAGAAAAGUGCGAUAGAAAUACCCGGAGUGAAGAAAUUCCUGAAAGGAAAUUCGAAAGAAAUCAAUCCUGAAUUGUUAAUCGAAGAACAAAUUGAACUGUUGCCCUACGACAAACGGUGGGAAUUCCCAAGGAACCGACUUAAACUCGGAAUACAACUGGGAGCUGGGUGCUUCGGACGAGUUGUCAAAGCCGAAGCUGUGGGGAUAAAAGGUUCCGAUGAACCUAUUAAAACAGUGGCAGUCAAAAUGGUCCGAUCACAGACUAAUGUCGCUGCUCUGGAAGCCCUUGCAAGUGAAUUGAAAAUUCUUAUCCAUUUGGGAUCGCAUUUGAACGUCGUCAAUCUACUUGGCGCUUGCACCAAAAAGAUAUCACAAGGUGAACUUUUGGUCAUCGUCGAAUAUUGUCGGUUCGGAAAUUUGCAGACCUACUUAAUCAAUCACCGGAGCAGUUUCAUUAACCUGGUGGAUGAAUUCGGCAACAUUCGAGCGGAAAAUGAGAUGGAGUAUGUUGACAUUGUAGCUGCUAGGUAUAUGAGGUUUAGCACAUCAGAGAUGAUUGUACCAAUUGACCGUUUCUGUUUAAAUCUUCUGGCAGAAAUGAAAAUUUUUUCAAGGAUUUGAAACUCAAAGGCAACCAAUACGAAUCCUGUGUAUCGGAGGCGUUAACUGCUGAUGGAAAUUUUACCGACGAUUGCCAAGCCCUUGGUUACAAACUCUCCGGUAAAAAACUAAUAAUUAUAGACGAUAGACUAAAUAAAAUGUGAAAUCGUUUUUGGUUCAGUAACAGAAUCGAACAGUGAUCCAUCUGAGCCACAGUCUUUUUGGCAAUACCAAACCGAUCCGGACGCUACUCUUAAUCGAACCAUUUCCACACGCGAUUUAAUUUCCUGGUCGUAUCAGAUAGCUCGAGGGAUGGACUACUUGGCUAGCAAAAAGGUCCUCCAUGGUGAUUUGGCCGCCCGAAAUGUUUUGCUGGCCGACGACGGAGUGGCAAAAGUGGCCGAUUUCGGCAUGGCUAAGAAAAUGUACUACGAAGGAAAAUAUGAAAAAACAGGCCAGGGGUUGAUGCCAGUCAAAUGGAUGGCCAUCGAAUCCUUGACGGAUCGCGUCUUUUCCAGCCAAUCGGACGUCUGGUCCUACGGUGUCCUCCUUUGGGAACUCUUUACGCUGGGCAAAGUCCCGUACCCAGGAAUAGACAUUGGCCAUCAACUCACGAAAGCAAUUCAAAACGGAUACCGAAUGGAGAAACCAAAUUAUGCCCCCAAUGCAUUCGGAGAAAUCAUGACGGACUGUUGGAAAACCGACCCCAAAACGAGACCCACUUUCAAUCAACUGGUGGGCACAAUCUGCUCCGAGUUGGAAUCGUCUGUCGGUACAAAUUAUCUCAAUUUUAAUAACCCGUACGAAACAAUCAAACCUUCCUACGUCAAAUUCAACGAAGAGAGGAAAGACACGACUACGGAUCUAUUCGGACUUGCGGAAUUGUUGAGCGAAAAGUCGCAACUGAAUGGCAAAUUGCAAUGCAACUCUCAAACAAAAGAAAACGAGGUUCGUUACUCCCUGUUUCCUCAGCGAUUCUAAACAAGGCGGUAUAAGCAAAGGCGGUAAAAAGUUUCCUGGAAAUAUACGAGUCAAAAAGUGCUUGCCAAAAUAUUGGAAAAAUCCUGCUUAACCUCCUAUACACUGUCCUAUACACUGUGUGAGCCCUUUCUCUCAUUAAAAACAGAUAUC
rnacentral:misc_RNA from 1 species